UAACAUGGAUGGUAAACUUCACACACCUG
rnacentral:piRNA from 1 species